rnacentral:lncRNA from 1 species
CCCCACUAUUUUUCAGGUAUUGCAGGCGUUGAGUUUUGGGACGAGACGUGAGGUACGUUCGUAGCGGUCGAUAGAGCUUCCGACCCAGAUUAUCGGUUUAGUUUUAUCCCUACUAUUCUGUGUUAUAGCUUAGUCAGUUUAUAUGGUUCAGUAUUUUUAUUACAUUGGAAUAUGUGGACUUUCAUGAAUGUAAUAAAAGGAUUUCGGGAUUUGGUAAAAUAAAAGGUUUUCUACCCCUCGUGGUAGCUUGUAUAAAAGAUAAAAGUUUUCGCAUAUGGAACAGUUUUCAAAAGAUUUUUCGUGGACUUUUGUUUAAACAUCGAAUGUAAAACUAUGGUGUGAAUGGUGAAUGUAUGAAUGUAUAGCUAUCUGUAUAUUCAUUUAGUUGUGGUUGUAUACUGUUUGUACUCUUGUACUUGUGCGACGCCGUGCAAAUAUAGGGGAGACUCUGUCCGUGUGAACAGUGGAUUUCCUGUAUUUGUGGCGGAUCUGGCAUACUCUAGGGUCAGGUUUUCAAAAAAAAAAAAAAAAAAAAAUUAAACGCUUUUCCCCUGUGUUUCAAACAAAAAAGGGACCCCGGGGCGUGACAAUUUUCGACUUUCCAAAAU